rnacentral:lncRNA from 1 species
GGCACGGUAAAUCCCAUUAUAUUCUUACCUCGAACGGAGAGGCGCGUAGGGUAUCUCAUGGGGUAAAGCUUAGGGUUCACUUCACGCCAAACCACCACGUGAGGGAGAACUCAGCCAACGCCAAGGAAUGGCUAUGUUUUCAAAACAAAAACAUGAUUUAUGUGAAAUGUGAAUUUUAAUAGCCUUGGCGGUCUCGGUAGGAUGCCUCGGCCAAGGUG